rnacentral:rRNA from 1 species
GAUGAACGCUGGCGGCGUGCCUAAUACAUGCAAGUCGAGCGAACGGACGAGAAGCUUGCUUCUCUGAUGUUAGCGGCGGACGGGUGAGUAACACGUGGAUAACCUACCUAUAAGACUGGGAUAACUUCGGGAAACCGGAGCUAAUACCGGAUAAUAUUUUGAACCGCAUGGUUCAAAAGUGAAAGACGGUCUUGCUGUCACUUAUAGAUGGAUCCGCGCUGCAUUAGCUAGUUGGUAAGGUAACGGCUUACCAAGGCAACGAUGCAUAGCCGACCUGAGAGGGUGAUCGGCCACACUGGAACUGAGACACGGUCCAGACUCCUACGGGAGGCAGCAGUAGGGAAUCUUCCGCAAUGGGCGAAAGCCUGACGGAGCAACGCCGCGUGAGUGACGAAGGUCUUCGGAUCGUAAAACUCUGUUAUUAGGGAAGAACAUAUGUGUAAGUAACUGUGCACAUCUUGACGGUACCUAAUCAGGAAGCCACGGCUAACUACGUG